GAUGAACGCUAGCGGCAGGCCUAACACAUGCAAGUCGAGGGGUAUUAGGAGCUUGCUCCUAAGAGACCGGCGCACGGGUGCGUAACGCGUAUGCAAUCUACCUUUUACAGGGGAAUAGCCCAGAGAAAUUUGGAUUAAUGCCCCAUAGUAUAUAUUAUUCGCAUGUUUGAUAUAUUAAAGUUCCAACGGUAAAAGAUGAGCAUGCGUCCCAUUAGUUAGUUGGUAAGGUAACGGCUUACCAAGACGACGAUGGGUAGGGGUCCUGAGAGGGAGAUCCCCCACACUGGUACUGAGACACGGACCAGACUCCUACGGGAGGCAGCAGUGAGGAAUAUUGGACAAUGGGCGCAAGCCUGAUCCGGCCAUGCCGCGUGCAGGAAGAAGCAUCUAUGGUGUGUAAACUGCUUUUGUACGGGAAGAAACACCCCUUCGUGAAGGGACUUGACGGUACCGCAAGAAUAAGGAUCGGCUAACUCCGUGCCAGCCGCCGCCGUAA
rnacentral:rRNA from 1 species